rnacentral:snoRNA from 1 species
UUCAGAGAUGAAAUUGCUGCAUAGGAAGUGCUGUCUGAUGUGAUAACUGAUGCUGGAUAAAGUUGCUCUGAGA